rnacentral:rRNA from 1 species
CGGAGGAAAAGAAACCAACUGGGAUUACCUUAGUAACGGCGAGUGAAGCGGUAAAAGCUCAAAUUUGAAAUCUGGUACUUUCAGUGCCCGAGUUGUAAUUUGUAGAAUUUGUCUUUGAUUAGGUCCUUGUCUAUGUUCCUUGGAACAGGACGUCAUAGAGGGUGAGAAUCCCGUUUGGCGAGGAUACCUUUUCUCUGUAAGACUUUUUCGAAGAGUCGAGUUGUUUGGGAAUGCAGCUCAAAGUGGGUGGUAAAUUCCAUCUAAAGCUAAAUAUUGGCGAGAGACCGAUAGCGAACAAGUACAGUGAUGGAAAGAUGAAAAGAACUUUGAAAAGAGAGUGAAAAAGUACGUGAAAUUGUUGAAAGGGAAGGGCAUUUGAUCAGACAUGGUGUUUUUUGCAUGCACUCGCCUCUCGUGGGCUUGGGCCUCUCAAAAAUUUCACUGGGCCAACAUCAAUUCUGGCAGCAGGAUAAAUCAUUAAGAAUGUAGCUACUUCGGUAGUGUUAUAGCUUUUUGGAAUACUGUUAGCCGGGAUUGAGGACUGCGCUUCGGCAAGGAUGUUGGCAUAAUGGUUAAAUGCCGCCCGUCUUGAA